rnacentral:rRNA from 1 species
CCUACGUGUGGCAGCAGUGGGGAAUAUUGGACAAUGGGCGAAAGCCUGAUCCAGCCAUGCCGCGUGUGUGAAGAAGGCCUUCGGGUUGUAAAGCACUUUCAGUGGGGAAGAAAGCCUUGGGGCUAAUACCCUCGAGGAAGGACAUCACCCACAGAAGAAGCACCGGCUAACUCCGUGCCAGCAGCCGCGGUAAUACGGAGGGUGCGAGCGUUAAUCGGAAUUACUGGGCGUAAAGCGCGCGUAGGCGGUCUGAUAAGCCGGUUGUGAAAGCCCCGGGCUCAACCUGGGAACGGCAUCCGGAACUGUCAGGCUAGAGUGCAGGAGAGGAAGGUAGAAUUCCCGGUGUAGCGGUGAAAUGCGUAGAGAUCGGGAGGAAUACCAGUGGCGAAGGCGGCCUUCUGGACUGACACUGACGCUGAGGUGCGAAAGCGUGGGUAGCAAACAGGAUUAGAUACCCGGUAGUC